UCUGUAGGUGGUCUGCUAAGUCAGACGUGAAAUCCCUCAGCUUAACUGGGGAACUGCGUCUGAGACUGAUGGACUUGAGGACAGGAGAGGAACGCGGAAUUCCAGGUGUAGCGGUGAAAUGCGUAGAUAUCUGGAGGAACACCGGUGGCGAAGGCGGCGUUCUGGACUGUUUCUGACACUGAAAGACGAAAGCCAGGGGAGCAAACG
rnacentral:rRNA from 1 species